GGGGCGGUAGCUCAGCGGAAGAGCAGCAGACUUUUAAUCUGUCGAGCGUGGGUUCGAGUCCCACCCGCCUCA
rnacentral:tRNA from 1 species